CGUGUAGGCGGAUGGGAACGUCGGCGACUGAAAGCCCCCGGCUCAACCGGGGAAGUGGUGCCGAAACGCCCUGUCUGGAGGGACGUAGGGGGACCUGGAACUUCCGGUGGAGCGGUGAAAUGCGUUGAGAUCGGAAGGAACGCCCGUGGCGAAAGCGAGGUCCUGGACGUCUGCUGACGCUGAGACGCGAAAGCUAGGGGAGCAAACGGGAUUAGAUACCCCGGUAGUCCUAGCCGUAAACGAUGGGCACUGGGUAGGGGGCUCGCCGAUGGGCUCUCUGCCGUAGCAAAGGCGUGAAGUGCCCCGCCUGGGGAGUAUGGUCGCAAGGCUGAA
rnacentral:rRNA from 1 species